rnacentral:lncRNA from 1 species
UGGAAGCUCCUCUCCACCAGCUGUACUUAGCCAGAAUGGCCGAAUAGGUCCUGAGCUCCAACACGAAUAAAUGUUGCCUGAUCUCUAGGUGAAGUCCCCACUGGAACCUCCUAGCCUUCCUGUCCUCAUCCAAUAGUUUUUUAGGGGAGUAUCGGCCCAACUCCAGGAACUUACGAGCAUAUUAUGAUACAGUCAUGUUCCCCUGGACCAAGUGGACGAACUCCAUC